GCCUGCGAGCCCAGGCGAGGCAGAGGCUUGCGCCUGCGCCACUCGGCGCUGCGGAAACCGUUGGCUCAUUUGCAUCUCCCCGCCUCGCAAGGCGGUGGAUAAGGAGCCUAAGGCGGCGGCGGGGGCGGCACCGCGCGCGGCGGGCUCGGGGAGAGAAAAACAUGGCGGCAAGGCGGAUGGCACAGGAAUCUUUGGACACUGUAUUACAGGAAAAAUCUAAACGGUAUGGGGAUUCUGAGGCUGUUGGUGAAGCUAUCCAGCUUAAAGCUCAAGAUCUCCUAAGGACAGGCUCACGAGCCAGAGCAAAUGUCUAUGAGGACAUUCGCAGUGACAGCAGGUACUCCUCCAGUGGAUCUGGAGUGUACUCACUAGACUUGGGGAGAGAAGGCCUCAGAGGUGACAUGUUUGUGGGACCCUCCUUCAGAUCUGGCAACCAGUCUGUCGGUGAAGACAACUAUCUCCACAAAGAAUGUGGCCGGGAUCUGGAACCAGCCCAUACUGACUCCCGGGACCAGAGUUUUGGCCACCGGAAACUGGGACAUUUUCCUUCUCAGGACUGGAAGCUUGCUCUCCGUGGUUCUUGGGAGCAAGACUUGGGCCACCCAGUUUCUCAAGAAUCCUCCUGGUCACAGGAAUAUGGUUUUGGAACCUCAGUAUUAGGGGAUGUGGCCUCCUCCAGGCGGAUAGAAAAGGAGAGUCGGGAUUAUGACCUGGACCGUUCUGGGGAGGUGGACUCUGUGCCUAGAGGCAGUGGGCAAGUACUGGCCAGAAGCCGGUCUCUAAACAUGGCUGACCAGGAAAGCACUCUCCUGGGAAAGGGGGACACUCAGGGCCUGCUUGGAGCAAAGGGUGUCGGGAAGCUUAUCACACUGAAGGGCAUGGCCACAAAGAAAAUACCUGUUGUCAGUCGUAUUACUUCCAAACCUCAGGGCACUAACCAAAUCCAGAAAGCCACCCCAAGUUCUGAUGUGGCCUUCGGGACAAACCCUGGGCUGGAUGAAAUCCAGUUGGCUGCUCUGAAGAUUCCUUUGGGGCUAGACCUGAGGACCCUUGGCUUCCCUAGAAGGAAGCUGGGCUUUGAUGCCAUGGACAAGGCAGAUGUGUUCUCAAGGUUUGGCAUAGAGGUCAUCAAGUGGGCUGGGUUCCACACCAUCAAGGAUGACCUCAAGUUCUCCCAGCUCUUCCAGACUCUGUUUGAACUGGAAACUGAGACCUGUGCCAAGAUGCUGGCCUCCUUCAAAUGCUCCUUGAAACCGGAGCACAGAGAUUUCUGCUUUUUUACUAUCAAGUUUUUAAAGCACUCUGCUCUGAAAACACCCCGAGUUGAUAAUGAGUUUUUAAAUAUGCUUUUAGACAAAGGUGCUGUGAAGACCAAAAACUGCUUUUUUGAGAUCAUUAAGCCCUUUGACAAGUACAUCAUGCGGCUCCAGGACCGGCUGCUGAAGGGUGUCACACCCCUGCUCAUGGCCUGUAACGCCUACGAGCUGAGCGUCAAGAUGAAGACCCUCACUAGCCCGUUGGACCUGGCUGUGGCCCUGGAGACCACCAACUCUCUGUGCAGGAAGUCCUUGGCACUCUUAGGCCAGACCUUCUCCUUGGCCUCUUCCUUCCGGCAGGAGAAGAUCCUAGAGGCUGUGGGCCUCCAGGACAUCGCGCCAUCUCCGGCUUUCUUCCCAAAUUUUGAGGACUCCACUUUGUUCGGAAGGGAGUACAUAGACCACUUGAAGGCCUGGCUUAUGGCCAGUGGCUAUCCCCUCCAUGUCAAGAGAGCUAUGCCCCCAGAUCCUCGAGAACAGAAAACCGCAAGUCAGACCUGGGCUGCGAGCACUCUGAGCCAAGCAGUCCCCCAGCGGGCAGACCACAGGGUGGUGGACACCAUUGACCAGCUUGUCAUGCGUGUCAUCCAAGGAAGACUGACUCCCAGAGAGAGAACACUUCUCCUGCAGGACCCUGCUUACUGGUUUCUGUCUGAUGAGAGCAGCCUGGAGUAUAAGUACUACAAGCUGAAGUUGGCAGAGUCACAGCGGCUGAACCACAGCUGGCCUAUGGUGGAGCGGAGGCCAACCCCAGCACAGUGCGCCGUGCGUGCCAUGCUGUAUGCACAAGCUGUGCGAAGCCUCAAGCGCAGACUCCUCCCAUGGCAGCGCAGGCGGCUGCUUCGCUCCCAGGGUCCUCGAGGCCUAAAGGCUAAGAAAGCUGUCACUGCCCAGCAGACAUCCCUGGCCUUGGGCACUCGACAGAGACAACAUGGCCGCCACGCUUCAGGCUCCUUGCGGGUGAAGCCACCACCACGGGACUCAAGUGAUGCUGCCCAGGACUGCCUACCAGAGCCUGCCAAAGCCCAUCCUCAGCCCUCCAGCGCUGGAGUCUUGGGCCAGGCUCCUCGGCCAACACCAGGGGAUGACUCAGAAGCCCUGCCGGCCUCUUCUCCCUGCCCCUCUGCUAAUGUGGAUGCAAAGACCAUGGAGACUGCUGAGAAGCUGGCCAGAUUUGUGGCUCAGGUGGGCCCAGAGAUUGAGCAAUUCAGCAUAGAGAACAGCACCGACAAUCCUGACCUGUGGUUCCUGCAUGACCAGAGCAGCUCAGCUUUCAAGUUCUACCGAGAGAAGGUGCUGGAACUGUGCCCAUCCAUCUCCUUCCAGUCUGCUGGUACGACAGGGGACUCAGUGCAGAGCCCCACAGCCUGCAAGGAGGGUAAGGGUGAGCCUGAAGAGGGGCACCGUGAGCAGGAGGCUGCCAUGGAGGGCCCUGAGGACGAAGAGGAAGAUGAUGAGGAGAGUGAGGAGGACGAGGGCGAGGAGACCUGCACCCUCAGGCCACAGGCAGGAGCUGUCAAGUGUCCAGGCUCCGAGGGCAGUUCCCCCACUGACAGCAUCCCUGGAGAGGGAUCCAGGGAGGACCAGGCCGGCACCCCUGGCCUGUCACAGGCCUCCUCUGGCAGCUGCUUCCCCAGGAAGAGAAUCAGCAGCAAGUCACUGAAAGUUGGCAUGAUCCCUGCCCCAAAGAGAGUGUGUCUCAUCCAGGAGUCAAAGGUCCAUGAACCAGUUCGAAUCGCCUAUGACAGGCCUCGGGGUCGUCCCAUAGCCAAAAAGAAGAAACCCAAGGACAUGGAAUUUGCCCAGCAGAAACUGACAGACAAGAACGUGGGCUUCCAGAUGCUGCAGAAGAUGGGCUGGAAGGAAGGCCACGGCUUGGGCUCCCUUGGGAAGGGCAUCCGAGAGCCCGUCAGCGUGGGGACUCUAUCAGAAGGAGAGGGCCUUGGGGCUGACGGGCCCACACAGAAAGAAGACACAUUUGACGUGUUCCGCCAGCGCAUGAUGCAGAUGUACCGACACAAGCGGGCCAGCAAAUAGAUCAGAGCACUGACGACAGAGAUAAGCCUCGAAGCAGCCUUGCCCUUCCUGUCACCCCGCCCCGGACGCCUGCAGCCUGAGCCUCGUUCCAGGGUCACACCCACAAGGGCCAUGGAUUCCAAAAGUUGUGCUGGCCUGGCCUGCCCUGGCUCUGGCACGCUCCUGUUCCUGGAUGUACAUCGUGAAAGUUGAUUCUGGUACCUGGUAAAACCUAGAAGAUACUUGUGAUAUCACCACUUGGACGUUGUGUUUGUGAGGAUCUAAGAAGUCAUGGUGUUGUCGAUAUUGAGUGCUUGGAAUAAAUGCAGAGCAGACCUGCUGCCCAGCUCCCACGCCGCAGUCACUGAGGCAUCCAUGGGUUCGGAGACAUUAGGAGUUUGGGGCCAGCCUGAGUUAUGCCAUAUUCUGUAUUGAAGAACAGCAAAUAUAGUGGCUCAGCCCUGUAAUCUCAGCACUAAGGAGACUGAGAAAGGAGGAUUGCUAUCACUUCUAGGAUAUCCUGAGCCACAGAGUGAAACUGAGUCAGUCCUGUGAGGAGGAUGUGAAAGGUGGCAGUGCAGACCUAGGCCUGACAGGUGUCUAAAGGCCCAGUAAUGGGUUUCUGAGCCCUGAUGACCAGUAUCCCCAGAUCUAACAGUGUGUCUGUCCCCAGGUACAGCCCUGACUACAAACAUCCCCAGGCCUGACAAGACAGCAGUGUUAACCCAGACCCAAUGACAAAUGUCCCUAGACAUCUCUAGCCCUCAUGAGUGUCCUCAGGCCUGAUGAUGAUGUCACUAGUCCCCCCAAAUAGGUGUCUUUCAGGACCCCAUUCCCUGAACUUUGACGGAUCUCUCCCAGGCCUAAUGAUAGGCUGUUUCUUGUACAUGAUGACAGAUCUCUCCCAGGCCCACUGUACUCUUCAAACCUCCAAUGACUAGGUUUUCCCCAUAGAUGUCUCCUGUGACCCAGGCUGGCCUUGAACUCAAGAUCUUCUGCCUCAUCCUCUGGAGUCCUGGGAUCAUGGCUCUGUCACCACACGUAGCCUCUGAGAGAAUGACUGUCCAUGGCUUACUUGCCUUGUCCCUACCUGGAGCAAGAGCUGCUUUGUAUCUUCCCACUGAACAGUGGGACCUCGGACGUGAUUUUGUUCACUGUGGAUCCCUGGCCUCUGUUUUUUCUACCAACAUUUCCCUAUCCCUAAGCAGGAGAGUUACGAGGAGACCAGGCGGGAGGAGCAUGGUACCCAGGACGGGCAAUGUUGCCCUCAGAAACCUGGGAGCGGCAUGGAGACUGACAGGCGGCACAGGGCCCUUCAGAAGCUUCUCCCCACCUGUGUCCUGGGGGACUGCUGACCGUGACGGUGGCCCGAUUGAGUCUUCUCACCACAGUCAUGGUGGGGUCAUGGGGGUGGACACAGGACUGGGUCUCCAGUCCCAAAUGGGCUCCUCAUUCAGGUUUUUACCUCAGUCCUCAGUUUCCUUUGACAAAUUGGAAAUGGCCAUCAGAAGGUAAAAUAUCCUUUGUCAUAGUUGGUGUUUCUGUUGCUACUGUGAAGUACCAUGAGCAAAAACACAAGGUAGGCAAGAACAGGUGUUUUUUUAAUUGUUGUUGUUGUUUUGGUUUGGUUUUGGUUUACACUUUUAUAUCCCUGUUCAUCAUCAAAAGAAGGACAGGAGCUCACACAGGAUAGAAACCCGGAGGCAGGAGUUGAUGCAGAGGCCAUGAGGGGUACUACUUACUGGCUUGCUCAGCCACUUUAUAUUAGAGAACCUAGGACCACCUACCAUGGGCUGGGCACUUCCUCAUCAAUCACUCAUUAAGAAAAUGCAUAGCCUGAUCUAAUGCAGUGAUUCUUUCAGAGGACACCAGCUUGUGUCAGGUUGACGAAACUCUCUUUUCUGUGACUUUGAAUUUAGGGCCAUGUGAUAAUUAAGUGUGUCUCAUACAGGAGAUUGCUCCCUUCAUUCAGCUUCUGGUCCAGGGAAGUUGAGGGUGUAUCUAAGCAACAGACUGAGCUGGGCGGUGGUGGCAUGUGCCUUUAAGGGAGGCAGAGGCAGGCGCAUCUCUGUGAGUUCAAGGCCAGCCUCGUCUACAAAGUGAGUCUAGGACAGCCACGGCUACACAGAGAAAUCUGUCAAAAAACCAAAAUAAUAGUAAUAAACUAAGCAACAGACUGAGACAUGGAAAACAAAUCCCAAAUAGCAAGCUUGUGUAGUGCCCACACACAGGGGCUCGUCUGCUUGGGACGCUGAAGCAGAAGGGUCACUUGACAUGGGAGUUCUAACCCUACGCGAAGGCUAAUCAGCAUAACCCAGAUGCACAUGGAAUCGAGCAUGAGGGGCCCCUCUAACCCACACAUGAAAAGUAAAAUGUCAGGCACACGUGAGCCCUAGUGAGGGGAAGCAGCCGGUAGCUCCCGAGUAUUUACUGGAAUGCUUGGCCAGGUGGAGCGGAACAGAGACCUGUCCCCUUCCAGAGUGUUCUGCUUCCACAGCUUUCAGACAGUUGGAUUUGAAAGUAUGAUUCAUACUUUCACAGCUAUUUUGUUGUCUCUUAAAAGUUUUUAAUUACAUUUAUUAAAUUACACUUAUUGGGGUUGAAGAGAUGGCUCAGUGGCUAAGAGCACUGGGUCUUCCAGAGACCAGGGUUCAGUUCCCACAUGGCGACUCACACCAUCUGUGACUCCAGUUCCUGGGGAUCUGAUGCUCUCUUCUGGCCUCAGUAGGCACUGCACACAUACUGUGUAUAGUCAUACAUGCAAGACACCCAUACAUAUAAAAAAAAUUUUAAGAUUUUAUGUAUGAGUGCUCUAUCUGUAUGUACACUUGCAUACCAGAAGAGGGCACCAGAUCAUAUUACAGAUGGUUGUGAGCCGCCAUGUGAUUGCUGGGGCCUCUGGAAGAACAGACAGCCAUCUCUCUGGCCCCUAAAAUUUUUUAGUUAAAAAUUGGUGUGUGUGUGUGUGUGUGUGUGUGGCAGGUGAAUGUGGCUGCGUAUACCAGCACACCCGUGUGCAGGACAAGGAUUCAGUUCUCUCAUUGCACCUUGUGAGAGCAGGGAUUGAACCCAGGUCAUCAAGCUUAGCAGCACACACCAUUACACACUGAGCCAUCCUACUGGCCCCUCAAUUCUUUCUAUUUAAAAUACUGGUUUUUAAAUACAUUUAAUUUUAUAUGUGGGUGUUUUGCUUGGUGCCUACAGAGGAUGGAAGGGCAUCAGAUCUCCUGGACUACAGUUACAGGUGGUUGUGAAUCACUGUUGACUGCUGGGAAUCCUGGUCUUCUUAAAGAGCAGCUAGGGCUAAUAACCUAGUCCCUAGUCCCUAGUCCCUUAGAAUAUUCUUGGUUUUGUGUUAAUGCUUUUGGUUGUUGUUGAGACAGGGUUCCUCUGAGUAGCCCUGGCUGUCCUGGAACUCACUUUGUAGACCAGGCUGGCCUCGAACUCCCAGAGAUCCACCUGCUGCUGCCUCCCUAGUGCUGAGAUUAAAGGUGUGUGCCACCA